UGUGGCUUCCGUGAGGGAGCGGCGGGGCGGGACCGGGAAAAGGAACGGGAAAAGGACCGGGAAAAGGAAAAGGAGCGGGAUAAAGAACGGGAACGGAAAAAGGAACCGGAUAAAGAACGGGAAAAGGAACGGGAAAAGGAACGGGACCGGGAAAAGGAACGGGAACAGCACCGGGAACAGCUCCGGCAAUGCGGCUGCGUCCCUGGAGCGCCGGGCCUCGCCUGCCCACAGCACGGCCGCCCCUGGCCUUUCCCCCGUUAAUUAAUUAAUAACUAUUAUAAUUAUUAAUUAGUAUAAGCUUUAAACUACCUUGUUGUAUAAGUUUCAAGCUAUCCGUUGCACAAGCUAUAAAUUGGUUUGUUGUGUAUGGAAGAAUUUGUAAUCACUUAAAAAGGGGAAGUAGGAAAAACGUGAGCUGAAAGGCUCUGCAAACACAUUUUUAAAUUGUUUUAAUGCAUUUAAUGUGUUUAAUGUGUUUUAAUGCUAACUUUGAGUUUUGUAAUAAUUGAGGAAGAGGCCCUAUGAAGAUGUUUUUAGACAGCUUUAGGUUGUGAAAUGAUUGAAAGAAGCCUUGCAGAAUGUGUGCUAACAGAAUAAAUGCUUGUUAAAAACUGUAACCAAAAAUAAUGCUAUAUUUAUAUUUUUAUUGUUAUUUUUACUAUAUUUUUUAUACUAUAUUAUCUCUAUAUUUAGAGAUAUUUUAAAAGAAGGAUGGGAAGCUGGAGAGGCAUCAGGAGAUCAUCUCAGACCACGUCCCCAAGGGAGCUCCAAAAUCCACAACUGCUGAUUAAGAUCUCCAAAAACCACAACUGCUGAUUAAGAUCUCCAAAAGCCACAACUGCUGAUUAAGAUCUCCAAAAGCCACAACUGCUGAUUAAGAUCUCCAAAAGCCACAACUGCUGAUCACCAAAAUCCACGACUGCUGAUUAUGAAGAAAAGCAAAUAGAAAAUAACUGAAAAUUUGAGGAAGUGCCUAGGAUGGUGGAUUGUUCCUGUACUCCCGGGGGAUUUGAGAUCUCCAUCCCUCCAUCCCAGGGAUGCCCGGCUCUCCUGUGGAGUUUCAGAGGAGCUGCAGCGCCUCCCUGGGAGCAUCUCCGGCUCCAGCCCCUGAUCAGGAUCCACCCUGCGGUUUUCAUCCCCGUUCCUUCCACUGCUCUGAUUUGUCUCUUGGAGUCUUGGUCCUCGGAAAGCUUUUGCCGAUCCCGCGGUGACACCGGCAGAGGCCACCUUUCCUCCCCGUGUCACAUCUGCAGUGACAGCCGGGGAAGCGAUGGGGAGAGGAGGUGAACUCCGCGGAACUGGGGAAAGUGAGGCACGAGUGGGGGCUGUUCCUGUGGCACUUUGGGAGGGAGCUCCGCCGUGUCCUUGGAUCCCAGAGCUCAGGGGAUGCACCUGGAGGGGCCAGGAUCCAGCUCAAAGAUGAAGAUAGCAGUGCCCAGAACGCUGGGGGAGGAAUUUAUUGCAUUUCUGGUAUCAGAGAACAUAAAUCUCGAUGGUGCCAAGAGGAUUGAUCUAUUGGGAAGGGGACAGGAGAAAACUGAACAGAAGAACCCCAAAGAUCCUGAGAAGAAUGUCUGAAUAUGUGUGAGAAUUUAUGGAUAUGUGUGAGAAUUUAUGGAUAAGUGUGAGAAUUUCUGGAUAUGGAGCAGGGUUCUGUUUUUAAGGGACAAUCCUUUAGUGAGGUGAAUGCAGA